rnacentral:misc_RNA from 1 species
AAGGAAAGAGAUAUUAGAAAAGAAGAAGAAGGUGCAAGAGAUAAUCAAAGCUGCUGUUUCUCAGAAAGACCUUUUUUCUUCCUUCCCAACUUUUCGCCAUUACAAGAAAAAGGAUUUGUCUGUGUACUUGGACUCGGGAUGCGGAGAUAGCCUUUCUUCUCCAGUAAAGCAGUAUAUUCAGAAUCUCCUCAAGGUGAAUAUGGAGGCAUCCUAUGGAACAGAGUGGCCUGUAGAAGAGAAGGUGAAGCGCAGGGAGAUGGUUUCUUCUGAAGCUCGUUAUAUAUUUGUGUAUGAGAUAUCAAAUGUGGAUGACAUGCUCAAAUUAUCAAAGAAAGAAAGGUGUAAUGCAGACGGUAUGGAUGAUAAAGGUCAUCUUGUGGCUUUUGUACAUUACCGCUUCACCAUCGAGGAAGAAAUUCCUGUUCUUUAUGUGUAUGAAUUACAGCUUGAACAUCGUGUUCAGGGGAAGGGGCUGGGAAAAU